rnacentral:rRNA from 1 species
CCUACGGGAGGCUGCAGUGGGGAAUAUUGGACAAUGGGCGAAAGCCUGAUCCAGCCAUGCCGCGUGUGUGAAGAAGGCCUUCGGGUUGUAAAGCACUUUCAGUGGGGAAGAAAGCCUUGGGGCUAAUACCCUCGAGGAAGGACAUCACCCACAGAAGAAGCACCGGCUAACUCCGUGCCAGCAGCCGCGGUAAUACGGAGGGUGCGAGCGUUAAUCGGAAUUACUGGGCGUAAAGCGCGCGUAGGCGGUCUGAUAAGUCGGUUGUGAAAGCCCCGGGCUCAACCUGGGAACGGCAUCCGGAACUGUCAGGCUAGAGUGCAGGAGAGGAAGGUAGAAUUCCCGGUGUAGCGGUGAAAUGCGUAGAGAUCGGGAGGAAUACCAGUGGCGAAGGCGGCCUUCUGGACUGACACUGACGCUGAGGUGCGAAAGCGUGGGUAGCAAACAGGAUUAGAUACCCGGGUAGUC